AAUGUCUGCUUGGUUUGACCAUUUACGCUGCAAACUCAAGAACAAGCUUAACAGGAUAGUAUCAAUGGCUAGGAAA